UGGUCGCUUAACGAUCAGGCUUCCGGGGAUACUGCCAGACUAGGGACCCGGGAGAGGCCGGGGGUAUUCCCGGGGUAGGGGUGAAAUCCCUGUAAUCCCGGGAGGACCACCUGUGGCGAAGGCGCCCGGCUGGAACGGUCCGACGGUGAGGGACGAAGGCCUGGGGAGCGAACCGGAUUAGAUACCCGGGUAGUCCAGGCUGUAAACGAUGCGGGCUAGGUGUCGCGAUAGCCAUGAGCUAUCGCGGUGCCGGAGGGAAGCCGUUAAGCCCGCCGCCUGGGAAGUACGGCCGCAAGGCUGAAACUUAAAGGAAUUGGCGGGGGAGCACUACAACGGGUGGAGCCUGCGGUUUAAUUGGAUUCAACGCCGGGAAGCUUACCGGGGGAGACAGCGGGAUGAAGGUCGGGCUGAAGACCCUACCAGACUAGCUGAGAGGUGGUGCAUGGCCGCCGUCAGUUCGUACUGUGAAGCAUCCUGUUAAGUCAGGCAACGAGCGAGACCCGCGCCCUCAGUUGCCAGCGGAUCGCUUUUGCGAUGCCGGGCACACUGGGGGGACUGCCGGCGCUAAGCCGGAGGAAGGUGCGGGCAACGGCAGGUCCGUAUGCCCCGAAUCCCCCGGGCUACACGCGGGCUACAAUGGCCGGGACAAUGGGUACCGACCCCGAAAGGGAUAGGUAAUCUCCUAAACCCGGUCUAACCUGGGAUCGAGGGCUGCAACUCGCCCUCGUGAACCUGGAAUC
rnacentral:rRNA from 1 species